rnacentral:rRNA from 1 species
CUACGGGUGGCUGCAGUGAGGAAUAUUGCACAAUGGGGGGAACCCUGAUGCAGCAACGCCGCGUGGAGGAUGACGCAUUUCGGUGUGUAAACUCCUUUUAUAUGUCAAGAAAAUGACGGUAGCAUAUGAAUAAGCACCGGCUAACUCCGUGCCAGCAGCCGCGGUAAUACGGAGGGUGCAAGCGUUACUCGGAAUCACUGGGCGUAAAGGACGCGUAGGCGGGUUGGAAAGUCAGGUGUGAAAUCCUACAGCUUAACUGUAGAACUGCACUUGAAACUUCUAAUCUAGAGUAUGGGAGGGGAGAUGGAAUUAGUUGUGUAGGGGUAAAAUCCGUAGAUAUCACUAGGAAUACCUAAAGCGAAGGCGAUCUCCUGGAACAUUACUGACGCUAAGGCGUGAAAGCGUGGGUAGCAAACAGGAUUAGAUACCCGAGUAGUC